rnacentral:rRNA from 1 species
UACGGAGGGGGUUAGCGUUGUUCGGAAUGACUGGGCGUAAAGCGCGCGUAGGCGGAUCAGGAAGUUGGGGGUGAAAUCCCGGGGCUCAACCCCGGAAUGGCCUUCAAAGCUCCUGGUCUUGAGUUCGAGAGAGGUGAGUGGAAUUCCGAGUGUAGAGGUGAAAUUCGUAGAUAUUCGGAGGAACACCAGUGGCGAAGGCGGCUCACUGGCUCGACACUGACGCUGAGGUGCGAAAGCGUGGGGAGCAAACAGG